AUGGUGUGCCGGGGUGGCGGCCCCGGUCAAGGUGGGCAGCGCUGCUCCCUGCGGCGGACGGCGGCUGCGGGUGCUCGGCUGGGCUCCUCGGCUUGCUUGGGCGGCGAGGCCCCGGUGGAUGGAGCUCGCGGUGGCCGGAUUUCCUCCGUGGGUCGGCCUCCAGAUCUGAAUCGACCAGCUCCAACUCCACCCUCCUCGCCUUCUCCCGUUCGAUCUCAGCUCCGGUGCGGCCCUGCUCGCCGGAUCCGGCGGUUGGCGGUGUUUUGGCGGUGGGGCUCCUGGGACCAGGGGAAACCUUUGGCCGGCGGCGGCGGCCACAACGACGACGAUGCCGCGGCGUCGAACUACUUCUUGGAGGCUUCGUUGAGGUAUCCCACCCCCCACCCAUCUGCCCCUUCAUCUAGGUGA
rnacentral:rRNA from 1 species